UACGAAGGGUGCUAGCGUUGUUCGGAAUACUGGGCGUAAAGCGUAGGUAGGCGGUCUACCAAGUCAGGGGUGAAAUCCCGAGGCUCAACCUCGGAAUUGCCUUUGAAACUGGUAGGCUAGAGAAUGUUAGAGGCAAGUGGAAUUCCUAGUGUAGGAGUGAAAUCCGUAGAUAUUAGGAGGAACAUCAAUGGCGAAGGCAGCUUGCUGGGACAUUACUGACGCUGAGCUACGAAAGCGUGGGGAGCAAACAGG
rnacentral:rRNA from 1 species